rnacentral:rRNA from 1 species
UUGAAAGGGAAACGAUUGAAGUCAGUCGACCUAUGGGUAAUCAGCCUUUUGGGUGUGAUUUUGUGGAGNNNUGAGGAGUUAAACGCCUUCAUGCUNNUAUUCGUGCACUUUGGGUGUACUUGCCCGUAUGGUUGGUUAACAUCAAUUUUGGGGGUCAUAAAAUGACUGGGGGAAUGUAGCUUCGAUCUCGUAUUGAAGUGUUAUAGCCUUCGGAGAUGUGAUGAUCGAGAUUGGGGGAUUGCAACGAUACCCUUCGGGGCUACCUGUCUGAGCUCUGAUCGUUGCUCUGGUGCCGAAAGCUUGCUUACGGUUAUCAAAGUCGAUGGUCAAUAGGUUAGAACGGGUUAAAUUCGUUAAGGAUGUUGACGUA